AUUGAACGCUGGCGGCGUGCUUAACACAUGCAAGUCGAGCGGUAACAGGUGUAGCAAUACGUGCUGACGAGCAGCGAACGGGUGAGUAAGGCUUCCGAAUCUUCCUCGUAGUGGGGAAUAACCAGGGGAAACUCAGGCUAAUACCGCAUACGAAACACGGCUGAAAGCAGUGGAGCGCAAGACCUUGCCCUAUCAGAUGAGCCGAAGUCGGAUUAGCUAGUUGGUGAGGUAAAAGCGCACCAAGGCGACGAUCCGUAGCCGGUCUGAGAGGACGUACAGCCACACUGGGACUGAGACACGGCCCAGACUCCUACGGGAGGCAGCAGUGGGGAAUAUUGGACAAUGGGGGCAACCCUGAUCCAGCGACGCCGCGUGUGUGAAGAAGGCCUGCGGGUUGUAAAGCACUUUUAGUGGGGAUGAAAAGCCGAAGGCUAAUACCUUUCGGUCUUGACCUAACCCAAAGAAAAAGCACCGGCUAACUCUGUGCCAGCCGCCGCGGUAAGAC
rnacentral:rRNA from 1 species